rnacentral:SRP_RNA from 1 species
GCUGGGCGUGGUGGCGCACGCCUGUAGUCCCAGUUACUUGGGAGGCUGAGGCAGGAGAAUUGCUUGAACCCGGGAGGUUGUAGUGAGCUGAGAUCGCGCCACUGCACUCCAGCCUGGGCGACAGAGCGAGACUCUGUUUCAA